GGGGCGGUCAACGAGUCGGGUUGUUUGGGAAUGCAGCCCAAAUCGGGCGGUAGACUCCGUCCAAGGCUAAAUACAGGCGAGAGACCGAUAGCGAACAAGUACCGCGAGGGAAAGAUGAAAAGGACUUUGAAAAGAGAGUCAAAGAGGGAUUGAAAUUGCCGGGAGGGAAGCGGAUGGGGGCCGGCGAUGCGCCCCGGCCGUAUGCGGAACGGCUCUUGCUGGUCCGCCGCUCGGCUCGGGG
rnacentral:ncRNA from 1 species